GACGAACGCUGGCGGCGUGGAUUAGGCAUGCAAGUCGAACGGUAGGAUACCUUCGGGUAUCUGAGAGUGGCGAACGGGUGAGUAACACGUAGGUGAUCUACCCUCAAGAUUGGGACAACCCAGGGAAACUUGGGCUAAUACCGGAUGAAAGCAGCAGUGAUGUUGUUUGAAAGGUGGCGUAAGCUGCCGUUUGGGGAUGAGCCUGCGCUCUAUUAGUUAGUUGGCGGGGUAAAGGCCCACCAAGGCGAUGAUAGAUAGGCGGCCUUAACGGGUGGUCGCCCACACUGGGAUUGAGAUACGGCCCAGACUCCUACGGGAGGCAGCAGUCGAGAAUAGUCUACAAUGGCCGAAAGGCUGAUAGUGCGACGCCGCGUGAACGAAGAAGCCCUUCGGGUGUAAAGUUCUUUUAUAUGUGAGCAGUGCUUUCUAUGUGAACAGCAUGGGAGAGAGAUAUUAGCAUAUGAAUAAGCAACGGCUAACUCCGUGCC
rnacentral:rRNA from 1 species